rnacentral:rRNA from 1 species
ACACGACUCUCGGCAACGGAUAUCUCGGCUCUCGCAUCGAUGAAGAACGUAGCGAAAUGCGAUACCUGGUGUGAAUUGCAGAAUCCCGCGAACCAUCGAGUCUUUGAACGCAAGUUGCGCCCGAGGCCACCCGGCCGAGGGCACGCCUGCCUGGGCGUCACGCCAA